UUACGGGAGGCAGCAGUAAGGAAUAUUGGACAAUGGCCGCAAGGCUGAUCCAGCCAUGCCGCGUGCAGGAAGACGGACCUAUGGUUUGUAAACUGCUUUUGAACUAGAGAAAACCCCCUUACGUGUAAGGGGCUGAUAGUAUAGUUAGAAUAAGCAUCGGCUAACUUCGUGCAGCAGCCGCGGUAAGACGAAGGAUGCAAGCGUUAUCCGGAUUCAUUGGGUUUAAAGGGAGCGUAGGCGGACUUGUAAGUCAGUGGUGAAAUCUUUGGGCUUAACCCAGAAACUGCCAUUGAUACUGCAGGUCUAGAGUACAGUUGCCGUUGGCGGAAUAUGACAUGUAGUGGUGAAAUACUUAGAUAUGUCAUAGAACACCGAUUGCGAAGGCAGCUAACGAAGCUGUAACUGACGCUGAGGCUCGAAAGUGCGGGGAUCAAACAGGAUUAGAUACCCUGGU
rnacentral:rRNA from 1 species